AAUUCUCAACCUUUAUUAGCUUUUGCUGAUUAAUGGCUUGGAUGUGGGGGUUCUCUUUUGCCGGCUUCUUCAGAGGUCAGCUCCCCUUAAAUGCAUUAGCUGGUGCCCCGCGUGGACUGUCUAUUUGGUGUGAUAAUUAUCUACGCCGUGGAUAUCUGCAAUGGGUUGUGCACUGCUUAUAACCGUCUGUUCAUUUGGACAAUACAUGACA
rnacentral:misc_RNA from 1 species